rnacentral:rRNA from 1 species
AAUGGGCGAAAGCCUGAUGCAGCGACGCCGCGUGGGGGAUGACGGCCUUCGGGUUGUAAACCCCUUUCAGUAGGGAAGAAGCGAGAGUGACGGUACCUGCAGAAGAAGCGCCGGCUAACUACGUGCCAGCAGCCGCGGUAAUACGUAGGGCGCAAGCGUUGUCCGGAAUUAUUGGGCGUAAAGAGCUUGUAGGUGGCUUGUCGCGUCUGCCGUGAAAACCCGAGGCUCAACCUCGGGCGUGCGGUGGGUACGGGCAGGCUAGAGUGUGGUAGGGGAGACUGGAACUCCUGGUGUAGCGGUGAAAUGCGCAGAUAUCAGGAAGAACACCGAUGGCGAAGGCAGGUCUCUGGGCCAUUACUGACACUGAGAAGCGAAAGCAUGGGUAGCGAACAGGAUUAGAUACCCUGGUAGUCCAUGCCGUAAACGUUGGGCACUAGGUGUGGGGGACAUUCCACGUUUUCCGCGCCGUAGCUAACGCAUUAAGUGCCCCGCCUGGGGAGUACGGCCGCAAGGCUAAAACUCAAAGGAAUUGACGGGGGCCCGCACAAGCGGCGGAGCAUGCUGAUUAAUUCGAUGCAACGCGAAGAACCUUACCAAGGCUUGACAUGCACUGGACGGCUGCAGAGAUGUGGCUUUCUUUGGACUGGUGCACAGGUGGUGCAUGGUUGUCGUCAGCUCGUGUCGUGAGAUGUUGGGUUAAGUCCCGCAACGAGCGCAACCCUCGUUCUAUGUUGCCAGCACGUGAUGGUGGGGACUCAUAGGAGACUGCCGGGGUCAACUCGGAGGAAGGUGGGGACGACGUCAAAUCAUCAUGCCCCUUAUGUCUUGGGCUUCAAGCAUGCUACAAUGGUCGGUACAAUGGGUUGCGAAACUGUGAGGUGGAGCGAAUCCCAAAAAGCCGGCCUCAGUUCGGAUUGGGGUCUGCAACUCGACCCCAUGAAGUCGGAGUCGCUAGUAAUCGCAGAUCAGCAACGCUGCGGUGAAUACGUUCCCGGGCCUUGUACACACCGCCCGUCAAGUCACGAAAGUCGGUAACACCCGAAGCCAGUGGCCCAUCCUCGUGAGGGAGCUGUCUUAAGG